CCUACGGGAGGCAGCAGUGAGGAAUAUUGGUCAAUGGGCGCGAGCCUGAACCAGCCAAGUAGCGUGAAGGAUGACGGCCCUAUGGGUUGUAAACUUCUUUUAUAAAGGAAUAAAGUUAGGCACGUGUGCCUUUUUGCAUGUACUUUAUGAAUAAGCAUCGGCUAACUCCGUGCCAGCAGCCGCGGUAAUACGGAGGAUCCGAGCGUUAUCCGGAUUUAUUGGGUUUAAAGGGGGCGUAGAUUGUUUUUUAAGUCAGUUGUGAAAGUUUGCGGCUCAACCGUAAAAUUGCAAUUGAUACUGGAAGACUUGAGUGCAGUUGAGGUAGGCGGAAUUCGUGGUGUAGCGGUGAAAUGCUUAGAUAUCACGAAGAACUCCGAUUGCGAAGGCAGCUUACUAAGCUGCAACUGACAUUGAUGCACGAAAGUGUGGGUAUCAAACAGGAUUAGAUACCCGAGUAGUC
rnacentral:rRNA from 1 species